rnacentral:tRNA from 1 species
GAGGGCAUAGCUCAGUGGUAGAGUGCGUGUUUAGCAUGCAUGAGGGCUUGGGCUCAAGCCCCUGCACCCCCA